CAUCCCUGUCCCUAGGGCACUAUAGGAAAGAUUCCAUCUCAGGUGUAGCUAACAGGUGAAUCAGAGUCAGGAUCUUUCAGGUGUUGGCUCCAAGGCUGCCUUCUUGUGAAGGUCUCUCAGCCCCUGGGCUCCUACCCCCAGCCCCAGCAAAACCACCCCAGCCCUCUACCGCAUUUCCCUGCCUUCCAUGUAGCCCACGACUCUGGUCUGUCCCCUGUGUAUCAUGCUGCCUGAGGGCACAGACUGGAGCUGGUAGCUGCUAUUUCUUCAGUGUCUGCCAGUAAAUGUUGGUUGACUAAAGUGCCUCUGACUGUCCCUGUGACCACAGCAGUCAGGUCACCAGAGAAGAAGAAUAUCUCGCAGUGGGAGUGGACAUUCCCUGGCCUCUCACUUCCUCUCCUCCAGUGAGCUCUUCCAGCACCCUCUUUGGCCAUCUGCUCUCAGUGUCCCACUCUAGACCUUGUCCUCACCAAAAACCCAUCUCUGGAUUGACCUUCAGCAAACACUUUCUGGUCUUCAUGAACGUCACUCCCCUACUCAUAGACCCUUUCCCCUGGAGCACCCCAGGGUUUUAUGAUCAGCCUCAACCCAUGUGAAGCCUCUGAAGUCAAUAGACACCACCCACCUGCGUCUGCCUAGGGCUCCCUGCUUAGCCUCCUAGUGCCAGGCCACCAGGUGACAGGGAUUCCUCUCCAACCCUAAUUCUCCCAGAGCCUCAGCCCACUCCACCUUUUCUUCCCAGAAUGCCAGCUGCCCACUGCAUGGAGUCUCCUUACUGGUGCUGUAAUUAGGGGCCAAAGAACAUCUUCCCUUCCAUAUCCUCUCAACCUGUAGCCUGGGGCAUCUGGACCCAUGUGUGCCCCAGAAGUUCUGACCAUGGAGAAAGGACCAGUCUCCAUCUUGGAGGAGGGACCUAGAUGACCCAGCUACCCACAAGGACACAUGGCCUGGAAUGGGGCAGAGUUGUCCUGCUGGCUCAGAGAAUGGAACCUUGGGUUUUUCUGGUUAUGAGUCAAUGCCCAAGGCUGUCCACAGAAAAGCUCUAUCUGCUCCUGGACGAGGGAAGUCACCGGUUGAUCCCAGCUGUACUAGGCACCCUCCACAUCCAAGGGCGGAUCCAGGUGGAGCCUGUGUCAGAAGAGUCUAACCUUGGUCCCCAUUUGCUGCUUCUCUCCUUCAUCAGUCAGCACUGGUGUCUUCAGAGUCAAAGCCUCGGUGCAUGCGCUCCGAAGACAGCAUGCCUCCAGUCCUUAGGUGAGGAGGGAUGUGCGAGCAGAAUGCUGCUGGCUGCAGGUGGACCUAACGCAUCUGGGAACCGAGGAGCCACAGAUGGCUCCAUGGACCCACUGGACUCCCCACAAGAUGAAUUUCAGCCAAAACCCCUGUACCCCAUGGGCUCUGUGAGCUCCCCUCUAACCAGAGGACCAUGCUGGCCUUCAGGUCCCUGGGAGCCUUGUCAUUCAGACCCCAGCCCACUGACAUGGGCUGCUGGAAUGGGAACCUGCAAACUCUUGCAGAACUAAGUCAGCUCACAGACUGGAGACCAUUAAUUAAAGGCUAGGCCAGGUCCCCUUGAGGAAUGACCCUGAAAUACCAUUGCAAGUAUAUAUGACAUUGCCCAAGCACCCAGGCCCUGGGCAAUGGGAGCCCCUUUGCAGCAGGCCUGUGUUGGCCUUGAGUGGCCAUCGGUGCCCCCAGUACUGUCGGAGCAGCCAGACCACACUCUGAUCCUCAUCCCUGUCACACAGAGCCAGGCCUUAGCCACCACAUGCCCCAAGGCCUCACUUUCCACCUGCGCCUCAGUCAGCUACCCACAGAUGCCAUGGUAGCUGGCCCACCUCCUAGCUUCCACUAGCAAUUCAGCCCUUCUAGUCUGCACACAGGGACAGUCCAGCUGAAAAUCCCACCCUGAGAGCCACUGACUAUUCCAGGACAGGACUUCAUGCAUCUUAGGAAACCUCCAUGGUCAGUUACCAGUUCCUUAUCUGGACCACUUGUGGCAUCAACUGCCUUAGCCUGGGUUCCCUAGAAAUGGGUCACUGUGGGCACUGCUUAGCAGUAAGUACUAUCAAUUCCUCAGUCUCAUGGGACGUCCUCUGAGAGUCCAUCGGUGAGCCUGCUUAUGAAAUGGAUUCUGGGGUGGAGCACCACCUCUCCAAAAGCCAUGGGACCAUUGGCACAGAAGCGGAUGAAUGGUCAGGGCAGAGGUGGCAGCCACACUGAUGAUCUGGCUGAGACCCACUGAGUUGCUCCAGCUUCCCAUGUCUUGUAAACUAAGUUUGCUGAGGACUCUUUCUGGCAAAUUCGAGCAGACCAGGCCAUCCUGCCCCAGUCCCUUGAUAUCACUUGACUGAAGGCCUCAUCCCCUUUCCCCAUUGGGCAGGCAGCUGGAAUCACAUGAGACUACCCCACAAUUCUGCAAGUCUGAAAAGGGGAGAGAAGUUGAAAAUAAGCACUCUGUGGGGGUUGUACCAUAGGUAAACUGGGUGACAGGAUUCUGUGUCCAGCCAGGAGCCACUGAAAACACUCCUUGAACCAUUGAUCAAGGAAAGGCCUCAGGAGACCAGGGUACUUCUAAGUAGCUGUGGGCCCUCUCAGUCCUGUGACCUCUUCUCCCCACAUCUGUAAGGACCCCACCAUCACUGGGGGUCCUCACGGAAGUCUGAGGAGUUGCUUGAUUUAUCUCAGUGGUUCUUCACCUCUUAGGAUCAAGACCACUUAAAUAAUUGAGAAGAAGCUGUGAGCCUUUUCUCUAGAAAAAUGCCUAUAUGCAUAUACACAAACAAUAUCAUAUACAACUUGAGGUGUGCAUCAACACUCCCAAGGCCUAUUGGGAAAUUCCCAGAUGGCGUCUGGGCUCCAGCUUAAGAAUUCUUGGCCUAUAACAAUGUUUCCAAGAAUAUAUAUGGACAAGUGUUCCCUUUGCCUGCUCCCCGCACUGCAUGGGCAUCUCUGUGCAUUGGAGACCUACCUGGCCCCUGGCCUCUCCUUCCCACUCCCUCAACCAUCCAACCUUCUGAAC
rnacentral:lncRNA from 1 species